rnacentral:rRNA from 1 species
GACGAACGCUGGCGGCGUGCUUAACACAUGCAAGUCGAACGAAGUGGCGAACGGGUGAGUAACGCGUAAUCAACCUGCCCUUCAGAGGGGGACAACAGUUGGAAACGACUGCUAAUACCGCAUACUGAAGGAGGGGAUUGCGUCUGAUUAGCUAGUUGGAGGGGUAACGGCCCACCAAGUCGAUGAUCAGUAGCCGGUAUGAGAGGAUGAACGGCCACAGUGGGACUGGGAAGCGGCCCAGACAACGACGGGAGGCAGCAGUGGGAAAUCUUCCGCAAUGGACGAAAGUCUGACGGAGAAACGCCGCGUGAGUGAUGACGGCCUUCGAGUUGUAAAGCUCUGUUAAUCGGGACGCGGUACCGGAAUAGAAAGCCACGGCUAACUACGUGCCAGCCGCCGCGGUAAUUC